rnacentral:lncRNA from 1 species
GUUAUAAAAUAAACAUAAUAAUUUUUAACUGAAAUAAUAUUUUAAAAAUCAAACAGAAAUCUUGAAAAUGAGAAACACAUUUGCUGAACUGAAGAAUUCAUUAGAGGCUCUCAGCAGUAGAAUGGACCAGGCAGAGGAAAGAAUUGGGACCCAGGCUGGAGUGCAGUGGCGUGAUCAUGGCUCACUGCAGCCUCAACCUCCUGAAUUCAAGCAAUGCUUCCACCUCAGUCUCCCAAGUAGCUGGGACUACAGGGCGUGCCUUUCUUAGAGCAGUCCUGGUGCCACUAAAAGCUGCAUUUUCAAUAUGAGAUAAAAAUGUAUUUUACAAAAAGUGCAAGGUCUUCAUGUCUGCUGGCAUUGCUGCAACAGUGGCUUGUGUGAGAGAUCACUUUUUACGGCAAUACCCAAUUUAUUGGAGAGACAAACUGCUCAAGCAAGGAUGAUUAGCAUUCUAUGGCAUUUCAAAAGGAUACUUGCAAUGCUUGACCUUACCACAAUAGCAACAGGAGGUAGCUACAAAAUUAUUACAAUAGUAGAGUAUGGUACCACAGUUAAUUUUAUGUAGUUAUAAUUUAAUACUGCAUCUUUAUGUUUGUUCACAUUUCUCUGGACUGUGAAUGGCACUAUGCAUGGUCUGUGUUUGUGCAGAUUUUGAUUAAUGUUAACUUUUUGUAAUAGAUUUGUAUAUAUCUUAUGGUAGUAAAUAAAUGAUAAAGUAGAGUAUUAUAUAC